AGUGAACGCUGGCGGUAGGCCUAACACAUGCAAGUCGAACGGCAGCACAGUAAGAGCUUGCUCUUACGGGUGGCGAGUGGCGGACGGGUGAGGAAUACAUCGGAAUCUACUUUUUCGUGGGGGAUAACGUAGGGAAACUUACGCUAAUACCGCAUACGACCUACGGGUGAAAGCAGGGGAUCUUCGGACCUUGCGCGAUUGAAUGAGCCGAUGUCGGAUUAGCUAGUUGGCGGGGUAAAGGCCCACCAAGGCGACGAUCCGUAGCUGGUCUGAGAGGAUGAUCAGCCACACUGGAACUGAGACACGGUCCAGACUCCUACGGGAGGCAGCAGUGGGGAAUAUUGGACAAUGGACGCAAGCCUGAUCCAGCCAUACCGCGUGGGUGAAGAAGGCCUUCGGGUUGUAAAACCCUUUUGUUGGGAAAGAAAAGCAGCAGGUUAAUACCCCGCUGUUCUGACGGUACCCAAAGAAUAAGCACCGGCUAACUUCGUG
rnacentral:rRNA from 1 species